AAGGGAUGUGUGGAGUGUGACUUGCUUCCAGGCAGACCUGAAGGGCCCCCCAGGGUCCUUGCACCCACUGUGUCCUGGGUCACAAUGAGCAGAUAACUGCAACUGAGAUGGCAGCUAUUGAGCCACACAGAACUGAGUUUCAGUCCUGGGUCCUCCAUGAAGCCGGGUGACUUGGGCAUGUCACUUGAUGUCUCUAAACGUAUCCACUCACCUACAAAGGGAGACGCUAAUGGUACUGCCGCCCAGGCCAGCUGUAAGCAUGAGACACACCACUGAGCUCAGCAUCUGGGCCCGACAAACAGUGGCUGUUGUCACAGUGCUGGAGAUGAGCCAGCAGGCUGCUGCCCAGGACCCGGGGCCCAAGGACACAUCACAUGCAGAGCACCUCAAUCAGGCAGCAGACAGAAAGCUGUUGGUUGAAUCUGGCUGCAGAAUGCACAGAUCUGGAGGGUCGACUGCGUUAGUCCUAAAAUGGAUGCCCUGUCCCCAUAGCUCACCACCCCACCAGCUCUGUGAUAGAAGAGGAAGUGGAAGCAGCAGCAACCUUCCAAGCUUUCCCAAGCUGAACCCCCAGACAGUUAUGUGACCUCACAAAGAUCACCGCCCAACACCUGAAGGGAAACUGUCCUGAGUAUCAGUUAAACAAAAAACAAGUAAAAGAACAAACGAACAAACAAAAAAACCAAACAAACAAG
rnacentral:lncRNA from 1 species